rnacentral:rRNA from 1 species
GAUGAGCGCUGGCGGCGUGCCUAAUACAUGCAAGUCGAGCGAACGGACGAUAAGCUUGCUUCUUUGAUGUUAGCGGCGGACGGGUGAGUAACACGUGGAUAACCUACUUAUAAUUCUGGGAUAAUUUCGGGAAACCGGAGCUAAUACCGGAUAAUAUUUUGAACCGCAUGGUUCAAAGGUGAAUGACGGCCUUGCUGUCUCUUAUAGAUGGAUCCGCGCUGCAUUAGCUAGUUGGUAAGGUAACGGCUUACCAAGGCAACGAUGCAUAGCCGACCUGAGAGGGUGAUCGGCCACACUGGAACUGAGACACGGUCCAGACUCCUACGGGAGGCAGCAGUAGGGAAUCUUCCGCAAUGGGCGAAAGCCUGACGGAGCAACGCCGCGUGAGUGAUGAAGGUCUUCGGAUCGUAAAACUCUGUUAUUAGGGAAGAACAUAUGUGUAAGUAACUGUGCACAUCUUGACGGUACCUAAUCAGAAAGCCACGGCUAACUACGUG